UCUGUAUUUCAUAUACAAGAUGGCUUUGGUUUUAUUUUAGGAAAAAUCUGAAGGGAAGGUAUUUGUAGUGGAAGGAACAGAACAACAGAAUGAGGAGAAUGUUAAUGAAACAGUAGCACAGUCCCCGGAGACCAAAGUGCCAGUGGCUUUUGUUUAAGCAAGCAUGAUUCAGAUCUAAGCACUACUAAUGGGGACUAUGGAUGUCCAAGAGCACUGCUUUGAAAUAGAGAAUGCAGCAGUCUAAAUGGCUAAAUUCCUACAUUCAUCUGCUCAUCUUCAUUGUUUAAACCUCAACUAUCUUGGAGCCAGGAAUGGAUAUCACUCCAGAAGUAGGGAUGACUCCCAACCUUAGUAUCCAAAGAAUGAAGGUUUGAAGAUGUGGCAAGGGUCACCAUCAAGGAGGAAUACAAAUCUACACAUGGCAAGUUCAACCGCACAGUCAAGGCUGACAACAAGAAACUGUUAUCAAUGAGAGAGCCAUCACCAUCUUUCAGGAGCAAGACCCUGCCCAUAUCAAAGGGGUAAUGCUGGUGCAGAAUAUAUUCUUGGAAUUUACUGAUGUCUCACCCAACAGAGAGAAGUCUGGGGCUCAACUUAAGGGUGAUACUGAAUGGGUCAUCAUCUCUGCCCCUUCUGAUGAUUCACCCAUGUUUCUGAUGGGUGUGAACCACAAGAAGUAUGGCAACUCAUUUAAGAUUAUUGACAAUGCUUUCUAUAUCGCCAACUUCAGAGGCCCUUGGUAAAGGUCAUCCGUGACAACUCUAGUAUUAUGAAAGAACUCCUGACCACACUCUGUGAGAUUACUGCCACGUUGAAUACUGGGAAUGUUUCCUUUGAGAAGCUGUUUCUUGAUCACCAUGGGGCUACCCAGAAUAUCUUCUCUGCAUGGUGCUACCAAGUCUGUAGGCAAGGUCAUUCUAGAACUGAACAGGAAUCUCACUGCUAUAACCUUUUGCAUUUCUACCUCCAAUGUAUUCAUCAUUGAUCUAACAUAGCACCUAGAGAAAGCUGCCAAUAUAAUGACAUGAAGAAGUUGGUGAAGCAGCUAUUGAGGGACAACUAAAGGGCAACCUGGGCUGUACUGUGUGCCAAACUAUCUCCUCCAAUUUUAAGAAUGAUGUCCCUUCUUCCAUCUUUUAUGCUGGGGCUAGCAUUGGUCUUAGUGACAAUUUUGUAAAGAGUAUUUCCUAGUAUGACAAUGAAUUUGGCCACAGCAAAGCAGGGGUGGGAAUGAACCUCAUAGACUUCAUGGCCUCUAAGAUUUAAGAAGUCCUUGACCAUCCACCCCAUCAAGAAUAUGAGACCAAGAAAGACAGUGUUACUCAGCUGCUGUGGUGUCCCUGUCCCAACUGAAACCACAAUCUCUCCUCAUAGUUUCAAACCAGAUGCCCAGAAGAAGAGGAAGGGCUUAGGGUGUCCCACUCUCUUGUACAUCAAUAAAAUUCACUGCACUCAUACAAAGAACUGUUACAAAUGUCUAAAUUGGUUCUGUCCCAGAGAAAUAUAAAGGAACUACAUGUAUUGCUGUAAUUUUUCUUAUGACAAAAAGUAUAUUGCCUAAGGAUAUCCACAGAUGACUUCAUUAUAUAAAAGUGCUUUUCAUUUGAGAACUUGAAAUCAAUACCAGAACCCAA
rnacentral:sRNA from 1 species